AUUGAACGCUGGCGGCAUGCUUUACACAUGCAAGUCGAACGGUAACAGGGAGCUUGCUCCGCUGACGAGUGGCGAACGGGUGAGUAAUGCGUCGGAACGUGCCGAGUAGUGGGGGAUAACGCAUCGAAAGGUGUGCCAAUACCGCAUACGAACUGAGGUUGAAAGUGGGGGACCUGCGGGCCUCACGCUAUUCGAGCGGCCGACGUCUGAUUAGCUAGUUGGUGAGGUAAAGGCUCACCAAGGCGACGAUCAGUAGCGGGUCUGAGAGGAUGAUCCGCCACACUGGGACUGAGACACGGCCCAGACUCCUACGGGAGGCAGCAGUGGGGAAUUUUGGACAAUGGGCGCAAGCCUGAUCCAGCCAUGCCGCGUGUCUGAAGAAGGCCUUCGGGUUGUAAAGGACUUUUGUCCGGGAGCAAAUGCUGGUGGCUAACAUCCACCGGAGCUGAGAGUACCGGAAGAAUAAGCACCGGCUAACUACGUGCCAGCAGCCGCGGUAACAC
rnacentral:rRNA from 1 species